rnacentral:rRNA from 1 species
UAAUACGUAGGUGGCGAGCGUUGUCCGGAUUUACUGGGCGUAAAGAGCCCGCAGGCGGUCCGUUAAGUUUCAGGUGAAAUCUCCCGGCUCAACCGGGAGGGUGCCUGGAAAACUGGCGGACUUGAGGCAGGGAGAGGGAUGUGGAAUUCCCGGUGUAGUAGUGAAAUGCGUAGAUAUCGGGAGGAACACCAGUGGCGAAGGCGGCAUCCUGGCCCUGUCCUGACGCUCAGGGGCGAAAGCGUGGGGAGCAAACCGGAUUAGAUACCCGGGUAGUCCACGCCGUAAACGAUGAGUACUAGGGGUGGGGGGUAUCGACCCCCUCCGUCCCGAAGCCAACGCGAUAAGUACUCCGCCUGGGGACUACGGCCGCAAGGCUA